UACGAAGGGGGCUAGCGUUGCUCGGAAUCACUGGGCGUAAAGCGCACGUAGGCGGCUUCUUAAGUCAGGGGUGAAAUCCUGGAGCUCAACUCCAGAACUGCCUUUGAUACUGAGAAGCUUGAGUCCGGGAGAGGUGAGUGGAAUUCCGAGUGUAGAGGUGAAAUUCGUAGAUAUUCGGAAGAACACCAGUGGCGAAGGCGACUCACUGGACAUGUAUUGACGCUGAGGUGCGAAAGCGUGGGGAGCAAACAGG
rnacentral:rRNA from 1 species